CGAUUGACGGAGCGAAGCGACGUCAAAGCGUUCAUUAAAGUCGAGUUGGCUUAGGGAUACGUUCGUUGGGUAGGGGAGCGUUCUGUAAGCCUGUGAAGGUGUGUCGUGAGGCAUGCUGGAGGUAUCAGAAGUGCGAAUGCUGACAUAAGUAACGAUAAAGCGGGUGAAAAGCCCGCUCGCCGGAAGACCAAGGGUUCCUGUCCAACGUUAAUCGGGGCAGGGUGAGUCGACCCCUAAGGCGAGGCCGAAAGGCGUAGUCGAUGGGAAACGGGUUAAUAUUCCCGUACUUGGUGUUACUGCGAAGGGGGGACGGAGAAGGCUAUGUUGGCCGGGCGACGGUUGUCCCGGUUUAAGCGUGUAGGUGUGUGUUCCAGGUAAAUCCGGUUCACUUUAACACUGAGGCGUGACGACGAGGCACUACGGUGCUGAAGCAACAAAUGCCCUGCUUCCAGGAAAAGCCUCUAAGCAUCAGGUAACAUCAAAUCGUACCCCAAACCGACACAGGUGGUCAGGUAGAGAAUACCAAGGCGCUUGAGAGAACUCGGGUGAAGGAACUAGGCAAAAUGGUGCCGUAACUUCGGGAGAAGGCACGCUGACACGUAGGUGAAGUGAUUUACUCAUGGAGCUGAAGUCAGUCGAAGAUACCAGCUGGCUGCAACUGUUUAUUAAAAACACAGCACUGUGCAAACACGAAAGUGGACGUAUACGGUGUGACGCCUGCCCGGUGCCGGAAGGUUAAUUGAUGGGGUCAGCGCAAGCGAAGCUCCUGAUCGAAGCCCCGGUAAACGGCGGCCGUAACUAUAACGGUCCUAAGGUAGCGAAAUUCCUUGUCGGGUAAGUUCCGACCUGCACGAAUGGCGUAAUGAUGGCCAGGCUGUCUCCACCCGAGACUCAGUGAAAUUGAACUCGCUGUGAAGAUGCAGUGUACCCGCGGCAAGACGGAAAGACCCCGUGAACCUUUACUAUAGCUUGACACUGAACAUUGAGCCUUGAUGUGUAGGAUAGGUGGGAGGCUUUGAAGUGUGGACGCCAGUCUGCAUGGAGCCGACCUUGAAAUACCACCCUUUAAUGUUUGAUGUUCUAACGUGGACCCGUAAUCCGGGUUGCGGACAGUGUCUGGUGGGUAGUUUGACUGGGGCGGUCUCCUCCUAAAGAGUAACGGAGGAGCACGAAGGUUGGCUAAUCCUGGUCGGACAUCAGGAGGUUAGUGCAAUGGCAUAAGCCAGCUUGACUGCGAGCGUGACGGCGCGAGCAGGUGCGAAAGCAGGUCAUAGUGAUCCGGUGGUUCUGAAUGGAAGGGCCAUCGCUCAACGGAUAAAAGGUACUCCGGGGAUAACAGGCUGAUACCGCCCAAGAGUUCAUAUCGACGGCGGUGUUUGGCACCUCGAUGUCGGCUCAUCACAUCCUGGGGCUGAAGUAGGUCCCAAGGGUAUGGCUGUUCGCCAUUUAAAGUGGUACGCGAGCUGGGUUUAGAACGUCGUGAGACAGUUCGGUCCCUAUCUGCCGUGGGCGCUGGAGAACUGAGGGGGGCUGCUCCUAGUACGAGAGGACCGGAGUGGACGCAUCACUGGUGUUCGGGUUGUCAUGCCAAUGGCACUGCCCGGUAGCUAAAUGCGGAAGAGAUAAGUGCUGAAAGCAUCUAAGCACGAAACUUGCCCCGAGAUGAGUUCUCCCUGAGACUUAGAGUCUCCUGAAGGAACGUUGAAGACGACGACGUUGAUAGGCCGGGUGUGUAAGCGCAGCGAUGCGUUGAGCUAACCGGUACUAAUGAACCGUGAGGCUUAACCUU
rnacentral:rRNA from 1 species